rnacentral:tmRNA from 1 species
UGCCAAGAUAAAUAGUGGUUAGCUAAAACUAAGCUUGUAUAAUCGGCGUAGUCAAGGUGAAAUUUUAGUGGGUUAUACUAAGUAUGUAGUACUCGUUGUAGAGGACUUUCGGACGCGGGUUCAAUUCCCGCCACCUCCACCA